ACCAAUGUGAUGAGUGUGGGGAAGGCCAUAGAAAGGACCGGCGAAUGCUGGCGUUGAUGUGUGUUAUUUUAAUAUUUCUGAAAUCCUGUUGUUAGUCUGCACACCUUGUCCGAGGCUCCGAUGUUAUCCAGGUCACCAGGUAUGCCCCUGGGCUCCUGCCGCAGCUGAUCGGGUGCUAGGUGCUGAGGAUACACGUCUGGGAGAAAGCAAUUGGAAGAAAUGCAAAGCUCUUCAAAGGAGGCCUAUAAAGUCAUCUUUGUUUUGUUCAUUCUUCUCAUGUUUCUGCAUUCUGGGCAUUCUCCUAAAUUGGGGAGAAACCAAAAUGCCCAGAAGUCAAAUUCUGCAACUGUCAUCAUGCAAAAUGUCAAAUGAGAGAACCAAAGUAUGCUGGAUUCUAUAUUGUUAGGAAGGGAUGGUUAAUUUGAUUGACUCUUGGGAGCUAUUUUUCUAGCAUUAAGUAAUUCUAGGGAACCCUUCUGUGAUCAUCUCUGAGUAAAUAAAGAAGUGAAAUUGCAAUUCAAAUAA
rnacentral:lncRNA from 1 species